AGUCAAACUGCACAGACACACAGCCCUGUUUGUUGAAUGUACUGGCGGAAUGUAAAUUGAAGAUAUCGGGUUUAUUUGGCAGUGCAUCUAUGGGCAUCUUCUCCACAGGAAGGUGCCAGACACAGGCGAGGGGGGGUGGGGGACACAUGCCUGCUGCUGACCUCAGGGCAGGACCAGGGCUGGAGCAGGCCCCCGGGGACCGGUGGGGAAGCUGGGGAGCAUGCCCCAAAGGCUGACGUUGUCAUAGGCAGGCAGUUUUAUAAAAGUGUUAAAAACCAUCUUCCGAAUGACUCACAUUCCCAAAAGCUGUUCUGGAACAUUCUGUGGAACAUAGCCCUAAGGUUGCUAACCGCCUCUGAGCAUGUACAUGUUUGAUGCUUUAAAACAAACUUUUUCGAGACACAUGGAAAACUGUACAAAUUUCUGCAAAGAGCACAUUAAGUAGGCAACAGCUCUGUGCUAGAGCGUAACCCUUACCCUCCCAGGGAGCCUCCUGACAUGUUACUGUAAUGUACAAUCUGUUAAAAAAAUAAAUAGCUAUUUAUGUGUGCUUUGAUUUAUGGUUAAAUAUGAAGCCGGACUGAGACAGCAGGCAGGACAGAUGGGUAUGUGUGUUAAACGUGGUUAGAAACCAGAUACACAAUCAGACAGUGCUGGAUAUGAAAGUAAAGAAUGGAUAAAAUACAAUGUAAAUGAAACAAGAUGUAUUUGUGACAGAGUACUCUGCAGAGUAUUAUUGCUUGAUAAUAAUGAUGUACUCUGCAGAGUAUUAUUGCUUGAUAAUAAUGAGUACUCUGCAGAGUAUUAUUGCUUGAUAAUAAUGAAUACAGAAUCACAGUCUCCCAACAGGGGUUGAAAUGGAAAUUAGUACAUUUAUUUCCAGUUGUGUAAAAUGUUUGUAAAUGCACUGGUCAAAAUUCAAAAACAGGAUUAUAAAUCUAUUUGAGCCGUGACUCUGCGAUCUGGCCAUUUCUUCCUAGGCUGAAAGAGAGCGUGGGUGUUUUUCUGUGACACUCAAUGCCUACGUUUAGGAUCUGCAGGAUGCUCUUCUGCUGACCCUGAGUACCUGGUGUAGGGUGUGUUUUUGUGAGAAAUAAGAUCCGCCGUCUCCAUUAGCGUUUGAAAGACAGCCCCUGUGAUGAUCAGCCGGGAGGCUGCAGAGGAACACCAGCUUUCCUCAGGAGGACUCGAGUUCAGUUUGAAGACCUCGAGAGUGCUGCACUCAAAAGAAAAAAGGCUAUUGUAACCUUAUCAAGUGUUUCCUCACGCCUCAGUGGAGCAUUUCUCUGUCUUCCUGCCUCUAAUCCCAGAGCUGUGUGCAAAAUACCCACAGAAGGUCUUUGUCUCCAUCCACAAAGCCGAGCGGCUUGGAGGAACGUGCAGCAGAAGUUAACUAUCUCUUGUUUGAUGUGAUCUUUAUCCUGCAUGUGAAAUCAGCACUCUGUCUGGGGACUCAGCUGUCCAUAGUGAUUAUCGUUUUUAUUUACUCCUGCCUAUAAGUUUGUCUUGAACCGGGCCUUUUAUUCAGGCUGUUAAAUUAUACAAUUUUUGAAUAAUUCCAAAAUAAUCUUAUUUUGGAAAAUGCCAUGAACUGGAUCAUUCAUUUUGGCAACAUAAUUUGUUUGGGUCCAAUGCAUAAACAAAACUAAUCAAAACAGUUAAACGAUAAGUAGCGUAAAUGCGACAGAGCUCAUUUGCAGCCUGUUGUGUAAAGCUUCAGCAGCGCUGUUUUUGGGGUGAAGGCACAUGGCAAAAUGGGGCUGAAAUGCAUUACUUGCACUUUUGUAUUAUUGCCGUUUCUGCCAAUCUGCAGCAGGAACGCCAUGCACCGUGUUUUUUACCUAUUCAGGGCAGAUUUUGGGGAUAGAAUUCACCUUCUUGUGUCACUUGUUUUCCUCUCUUUAGGAAGCAUUCCUCCACUGUCGGUGACCACAAGUCACCUGUCUUUUUCUCAUUACAGACCCGUUUGUGUUUACGUGUAGUUUGUCUCUGCAUUCAGCUUUAGCUCGGUGUAAUUCCUGGAUUAGCUUUGGCUGGGUGUGUUUGCCAGAGUAACUUUAGUUAGGUGCGAUUUGUAGACUUGCUUUGCAAACUUGCCAGCUUUGGUCAGCCGGUUGGCGUGAGAUUUUCAAUUCAAGAUGCAUUUACAUGUAUGUAACAGUUUAAUUACCUUGUGAAUAGUCUGUAGGGUUUGCAAACUACCCAAAAGCUUAUAAUGUAGCCAGUUUUAGGUUUACAAUGAAAUAAUAUAGAUUUACCGUAAGAUUUCUUGUGUGAGCUUGAGAAUCUGAAAGCAUGAGCGUCAUGCCGGAUGCGUGAGAGAUAGCAACCCUGCCUUUGGUUAGGUGUGAUUGCUAGAUCAGCUUUGGUUAGGUGUGAUUGCUAGAUCAGCUUUGGUUAGGUGUGAUUGCUAGAUCAGCUUUGGUUAGGUGUGAUUGCUAGAUCAGCUUUGGCUAGGUGUGAUUGCUAGAUCAGCUUUGGUUAGGUGUGAUUGCUAGAUCAGCUUUGGUUCAGCGUGAUUGCUAGAUCAGCUUUGGCUAGGUGUGAUUGCUAGAUCAGCUUUGGUUCGGUGUGAUUGCUAGAUCAGCUUUGGUUAGGUGUGAUUGCUAGAUCAGCUUUGGUUAGGUGUGAUUGCUAGAUCAGCUUUGGUUAGGUGUGAUUGCUAGAUCAGCUUUGGCUAGGUGUGAUUGCUAGAUCAGCUUUGGUUAGGUGUGAUUGUUAGAUCAGCUUUGGCUAGGUGUGAUUGCUAGAUCAGCUUUGGCUACGUGUGAUUGCUAGAUCAGCUUUUGUUAGGUGUGAUUGUUAGAUCAGCUUUGGUUAGGUGUGAUUGUUAGAUCAGCUUUGGUUAGGUGUGAUUGCUAGAUCAGCUUUGGCUACGUGUGAUUGUUAGAUCAGCUUUGGUUAGGUGUGAUUGCUAGAUCAGCUUUGGUUAGGUGUGAUUGUUAGAUCAGCUUUGGUUAGGUGUGAUUGCUAGAUCAGCUUUGGUUAGGUGUGAUUGCUAGAUCAGCUUUGGCUACGUGUGAUUGUUAGAUCAGCUUUGGUUAGGUGUGAUUGCUAGAUCAGCUUUGGCUACGUGUGAUUGUUAGAUCAGCUUUGGUUAGGUGUGAUUGCUAGAUCAGCUUUGGCUACGUGUGAUUGUUAGAUCAGCUUUGGUUAGGUGUGAUUGCUAGAUCAGCUUUAGCUAGGUGUGAUUGCUAGAUCAGCUUUGGUUAGGUGUGAUUGUUAGAUCAGCUUUGGUUAGGUGUGAUUGUUAGAUCAGCUUUGGUUCGGCGUGAUUGCUAGAUCAGCUUUGGUUAGGUGUGAUUUCUAGAUCAGCUUUGGUUAGGUGUGAUUGCUAGAUCAGCUUUGGCUACGUGUGAUUGCUAGAGUAACUUUAACUAGGUGCGACCGCUAGAUUAGCUUUGUGUGGUGGCUAGAUUUUGGUGACUUGCGAGAUUUACUAAAUGACACCUUUCUGCAAAAGAUAUGCUGUUCAAGUCUGUUCAGCAUGUGUAGCAUGUACACGGGCUCCACCCAGUGGUG